rnacentral:rRNA from 1 species
CCGGAUUAAUACCGCAUACGAUCUACGGAAGAAAGCGGGGGAUCCUUCGGGACCUCGCGCUAUAGGGGCGGCCGAUGGCAGAUUAGCUAGUUGGUGGGGUAAAGGCCUACCAAGGCGACGAUCUGUAGCUGGUCUGAGAGGACGACCAGCCACACUGGGACUGAGACACGGCCCAGACUCCUACGGGAGGCAGCAGUGGGGAAUUUUGGACAAUGGGGGAAACCCUGAUCCAGCAAUGCCGCGUGUGUGAAGAAGGCCUUCGGGUUGUAAAGCACUUUUGUCCGGAAAGAAAACUUCUGCCCUAAUACGGUGGGAGGAUGACGGUACCGGAAGAAUAAGCACCGGCUAACUACGUGCCAGCAGCCGCGGUAAUACGUAGGGUGCGAGCGUUAAUCGGAAUUACUGGGCGUAAAGCGUGCGCAGGCGGUUCGUUAAGACAGAUGUGAAAUCCCCGGGCUUAACCUGGGAACUGCAUUUGUGACUGGCGAGCUAGAGUAUGGCAGAGGGGGGUAGAAUUCCACGUGUAGCAGUGAAAUGCGUAGAGAUGUGGAGGAAUACCGAUGGCGAAGGCAGCCCCCUGGGCCAAUACUGACGCUCAGC